GCACAAACAACAUGCGUUCUAUGUGUUUGUCGUGUUAGGUCACAACAGUUUCCUGCGGCAUCGCUAUGAUGACCAGCCACGCUCACCUCACGC